rnacentral:lncRNA from 1 species
UUAUUGUCAUCUACAACACUACUUUCAUCACCUUCAAUUAUUUUCUUAGUAGCCAACACAUCUGCACAUGCUUCUGACCUUUGUUUUUCUUUAAUUUCUUUUUCCUUCUCCACCUCCUUGUCUUCUACAACACGACUCUCAUCAACUUCAACUAUUUUCUGAGUAGCCAACACAUCUGCACAGGCUUCUGAAUUUUGUUUUUCUUCAACUUCUUUCUCCUUCACCUCCUCCUUGUCUUCCACAACACUACUCUCAUCACUUUCAACUAUUGUUUGAGUAACCAACACAUCUGCACAGGUUUCUGAAUCUUGUUUUUCUUUAACUUCUUUUUCUUUCUCCACCUCCUUAAUGUCUUCUACAACACUACUCUCAUCACCUUCAAUUGUUUUCUGAGUAACCAACACAUCUGCAGAGGCUUCUGAAUUCUGUUUUUCUUUAACUUCGUUUUCGUUCUCCACCUCCUUAUUGUCUUCUGCAGCACUACUCUCAUCACCUUCAAUUAUUUCCUGAGUAGCCAACUUAUCUGCACAGGCUUCUGAAUUUUGUUUGUCUUUAACUUCUAACUCAGAACCUGUGGAUUCCAUAACUGGUUGAACAAGUGGAGCUGCAGUCACAGGAUGUUGAUUGGUU